rnacentral:rRNA from 1 species
AUCGAACGCUGGCGGCAGGCUUAACACAUGCAAGUCGAGCGAGCGGCGGACGGGUGAGUAAUGUCUGGGAAACUGCCAGAUGGAGGGGGAUAACUACUGGAAACGGUAGCUACUACCGCAUAACAUCAGAUGUGCCCAGAUGGGAUUAGCUAGUAGGUGGGGUAAUGGCUAACCUAGGCGACGAUCCCUAGCUGGUCUGACGGGAUGACCGGCCACACUGGAACUCAGACACGGUCCAGACUCCUAAGGUAGGGAACAGUGGGGAAUAUUGCACAAUGGGCGCAAGCCUGAUGCAGCCAUGCCGCGUGUAUGAAGAAGGCCUUCGGGUUGUAAAGUACUUUCAGUCGGGAGGCGUUACCGACAGAAGAAGCACCGGCUAACUCCGUGCCAGCAGCCGCGGUAAUUC